rnacentral:rRNA from 1 species
GAUGAACGCUGGCGGCGUGCCUAAUACAUGCAAGUCGAGCGAACAGACGAGGAGCUUGCUCCUCUGACGUUAGCGGCGGACGGGUGAGUAACACGUGGAUAACCUACCUAUAAGACUGGGAUAACUUCGGGAAACCGGAGCUAAUACCGGAUAAUAUAUUGAACCGCAUGGUUCAAUAGUGAAAGACGGUUUUGCUGUCACUUAUAGAUGGAUCCGCGCCGCAUUAGCUAGUUGGUAAGGUAACGGCUUACCAAGGCAACGAUGCGUAGCCGACCUGAGAGGGUGAUCGGCCACACUAGAACUGAGACACGGUCCAGACUCCUACGGGAGGCAGCAGUAGGGAAUCUUCCGCAAAGGGCGAAAGCUUGACGGAGCAACGCCGCGUGAGUGAUGAAGGUCUUCGGAUCGUAAAACUCUGUUAUUAGGGAAGAACAAAUGUGUAAGUAACUAUGCACGUCUUGACGGUACCUAAUCAGAAAGCCACGGCUAACUACGUG